rnacentral:rRNA from 1 species
UAACCUCGGCAACGAGGAGGCAGCCGGCCACGGUCGGGUCAGCGACUGGGGUG